GACGAACCGUACGAACGUUAUUCGGAAUCACUGGGCUUAAAGGGUGCGUAGGCGGCGCAGUAAGUUGGGUGUGAAAUCCCUCGGCUUAACCGAGGAAUUGCGCCCAAAACUACUGUGCUCGAGGGAGGUAGAGGUGAGCGGAACUUAGGGUGGAGCGGUGAAAUGCGUUGAUAUCCUAAGGAACACCGGUGGCGAAAGCGGCUCACUGGACCUCUUCUGACGCUGAGGCGCGAAAGCUAGGGGAGCAAACGGG
rnacentral:rRNA from 1 species